AGCCCGUCAACCCAGAACCGUGCUGAAGAGGUCACCCUCUCCGCCCACACAUCAGUUAAGAACAGCCCCAUUCAGGCAUCGGCCCAUUCUCUUCGCCCAGUACUUUAGAAGAUCCGGAGGCAGCUCGGCCAUGCAUACAUCCCACAGUCUAGAGAGCAGGAAGACACCAUGAAAUGAAGAGCCUCCUCUUCCAUAAACAGCUGGACUCCUCAGAGGCCCACUGCAACGGAGUCACAAUGAUUGAGGCCUCAGAAACCAUGUGUGGGGAGGCAAACAGAUGCCAUAGCAUGCUACAUGGAGAUCAGAAGACAACCAGCAUUAUUUAGUUUUCUCACCACACCAUGUGGAUCGUGGGACUCAAUUAAGGUUAUCAGGUUUGGCUGAAAGAACGUUUACCCAAUGAGUGAUGUCUCCAGCACCACCUCCUUAUAUUUCAGGACCAUGUGAUUCCCAUCAUGCACCAUGAAAAAAUGCAAGUGUAUCAGUUAGGAGUUGCUUAUGAGGUAAGGCUGCUCUGAGAGAUCCUGGGCUGAGAGCUGAAGCAGCAGGGUUCAUAAAAACCAGAGCCAAUGUGAGUCUGCCAGCUUGGGGCUCGGGAUCCAUCUAAAGACUACAGGGUCAAGAAAAGCCACAGAUAGAGGGAAGAGCCAUAGGACACACUGGGACCACUAAGGAGGAACUGUUUUCUGGCCAUCUUUACUGAUGUCCAGUCAGACAGUCUGUAGGCUACAAAGCUGAUGUGCUUGACCACGGAGUUAGCAUGAGGCCAAUAUCCUUAUUCGUGUCUGUAGAUGUAGCUGGAAAAGGAAUUCCUGCAAGUAGAAUUGCUGGGCCAGGGGACAUAUUCACUUGUUAUUUGCUAGAUAUUAUGAAUUUUCCCUCCAAAGGUGGUUGUACCAAUUCAUAUUCCUGUCAAUUAUGCAUGAAGAUGAAGGUUACCUGAUACAGGCAUUGGCAGAACACAUUAUCUUACUUAAAAAAAAAAAACUUUAAAAUUCAAUUUAUAAAAACAACAUAAUAUAUAAUUGAGAUCUUACUCUGUAUUUCUUUUCAUAAGAUGCAUGUUUAACAUUUGUAAAUGUUAAAUCCAUUUGUAUUUUUGUCUUACUGCAUUAGCAAUUUUCUCUCGUAUUCAUUUAUCAGUCUAUACACGUUUAAUGUGAGUUCACCACACAUCUGGUAACUUUAUCUAAUAUAUGAAAAGGUUACUCUGCAGUUCAUUUAUUACACUUCCUAUUUUGUCUAGGUAGACAUUGAUUUUUAUGAUAAUGUAC
rnacentral:lncRNA from 1 species